UACUAGCCCAGAUGGAAACGGCAUCCUUUUUCUUUUUCCUUUAAAAAGAAAAAGAUAUAGUGUACAGCUGGAUAAAGC
ensembl:sRNA